rnacentral:RNase_P_RNA from 1 species
GAACACGCGUAGUCGCUGCAGGCCUGAGCGCUUGCCACGAUCUUUCCGAUCUGUGCAUGAAGGUAGCUGGUCUGUAGAGGAAAGUCCAGACUCGCCCGGGCUGCGAUGCCCGGAGUGUUUGUGCCCGAUGCAAAUCGGGGCAGUGCGACGCCCUCGGUGCCCGUGUUCAUGCGCUUUAACACAGGGAGACGAUGGAUGAUCGUGCUGACGGCGGUGAAAGGGGCUCUCUGAGUUCCGAGUAGCCUGAAAGUGCCACAGAGACGAGCCUUUCGGCGACGAAAGGGUGGAACGCGGUAAACCCCACAAGCGAGAAACCCAAAUAAUGGUAGGGGAGCCCUCCAAUGAGAAAUGAAUCGGCGGAGGGAUCGGGAGAAGUCCUGAUAGAUAGAUGACUACGACUUCUGUACGAGGGGUGGCGCCCGUUUGUAGUACGGAAGUACAGAAACUGGCUUACAGUG